rnacentral:rRNA from 1 species
GACGAACGCUGGCGGCGUGCUUAUCACAUGCAAGUCGAACGGAAAGGCCCUGCUUUUGUGGGGUGCUCGAGUGGCGAACGGGUGAGUAACACGUGAGUAACCUGCCCUUGACUUUGGGAUAACUUCAGGAAACUGGGGCUAAUACCGGAUAGGAGCUCCUGCUGCAUGGUGGGGGUUGGAAAGUUUCGGCGGUUGGGGAUGGACUCGCGGCUUAUCAGCUUGUUGGUGGGGUAGUGGCUUACCAAGGCUUUGACGGGUAGCCGGCCUGAGAGGGUGACCGGCCACAUUGGGACUUGAGAUACGGCCCAGACUCCUACGGGAGGCAGCAGUGGGGAAUAUUGCACAAUGGGCGGAAGCCUGAUGCAGCAACGCCGCGUGCGGGAUGACGGCCUUCGGGUUGUAAACCGCUUUCGCCUGUGACGAAGCGUGAGUGACGGUAAUGGGUAAAGAAGCACCGGCUAACUACGUG